rnacentral:piRNA from 1 species
UUAGAAUAAAUUUGUUGACGGCCAAGGCUU